rnacentral:lncRNA from 1 species
CACACAAGAACCACGCUUCGUAACUUUGCAAAAAGGCCCAUUUACUUUAAAAUUAAUUUGGUUUUGAUAACUUCUACGCUACAGAAUUUGCUUCCUUCCCCUUUCAUUCUGUCUCUGAAUAAAGUAUCCACGUACCCUAGCAUGAGUCCGGUCUUCAACUUGCUAAAUUAACUUUUCCUUCUCUUCCUCUGUGUCUCAAAAGUAGCUCCAUUUAUUUUAACAACUGGUCAUACAAAAGAAAAAAAAAAAUCAAUGUAGGAGACACCCCACACACUUGAAGAGCAGCCACAUGCAGGUACUUUUGGGAGGACAGGAAGGGUAACUCUACCCUCAGGAUUUAUGAGUCCUCAUCUCUACCCUUCCAUUAGGCAGAAAAAUGAACAAGUCACAAAGAAAAGGAGAGAAACUAAAGGAUUAUUAAACUCUGUUAACCUACUUUGGAGACUAGGAAGACCUAAUUGUUGAGGAAAAACACUCUGGGAUGAGCUGAUCUCCUUUGACACCAGCUGAAACUGUGGUCUUCAUUUUAGAACUAGAUGUUUCAUUGGCUUUAACAGAUUAUUUAAAUAAAAAAACCCCACCAGUUUUCACCCUGCUUUCUGUAUUAGAAAGAGGUUUGAAGAUAGCACAGAAAAAGGAUUAAACUACAAUAUUCAGGCUUGAGAGUUUCAUUAUUAAAAAAAAAACAAAACAAAAAACCCCACAACCUUCAGGCAAAAAAUAAAGCCUGCAGAGAAUCUUAAUUUUUAAUGGCAUUUUCAAAGUGCAACAUGACUCUCUGCUUUCUGUAUUAGAAAGAGGUUUGAAGAUGGCACAGAAAAAGGAUUAAAUUACAAUAUUCAGGCUUGAGGGUUUCAUUAUUAAAAAAACAAGACAAAAAACCCCACAACUUUCAGGCAAAAAAUUCCCUGCAGAGAACCUUAAUUUUUAAUGGCAUUUUCAAAGCGCAACAUGACUCUUAUUCCAUAAACUGAUAGCCAUCUAUGAUGAAGAAAACAUGCAAUAUAACUGCCACAAAAAAGGUCAGUUUAUUAGGGCUGAGUCCCAGUGCAUUCUUCCCAGUAAAAGAUUCUUCUCAUUUGAACUAGAAAUUUCUAUUAAAAGGAAGCCUGGGUCUAGCAGAACAUUGCUUAUCCCUUCUGCCCCCAAAUUUUUCAAGAGCUCCUAACUCUAAAUUCCAUUUUGGAUCAAAUCUGAAGUGCUCCAUUCAAUGUAACUGGAAAAAAGUAUUAAAUAAAACAUCUUACCUGAAGUUUAAGGAAUGGCA